CUUUGAUAACAUAAUACAUAUAUGAUAUUAAAUUAUUAGUAUCAUAAUAUUUGUGCAUAAUUUUAAACAUACGUGAACGCUCGCAUAGGUACUUGUCCGAUUAAAUAAUGUAAAAACUUUUAGAGUGAUAUGUAUUUAAUAUUUUAAUUAAAGUUUAUAUAAUACUAAAAUUUAUAUUUGCUAGUUUGGAAAGAACUUCGAUUUAAUCAUAUCAUACUAUUAUAAUUAUAUUAUCGCAUAAUCGUUUUCAAAAUGUCAAAACGAGACAGAUGCCUACGACGUAAAUAGAACCUGGGGGGUGUUAAACAAUUAGACACACGGAUUAACACGUCGUUAAUAGCCAAACAAUUUCACACGUACGUGGGUCCGUACUACAGAGGAUUUAAUUAUUCAUCAGAGGAAAACUAGAGGCGUCAGAUCUACUCGUUAUAGAAGGAACAGGAAUGCCUGCAAUGCCUCAUUAAACCCACACCUUUUCACAUUAUUUGAUUUCUUGAAGACAAUGCGUACAAAAAUGAAUGAAUCGUGAAUCGACGAGUUAUUAUUUCUAUCUCCGUCGGUUAUUUUCAUUACAUAUUAUAUAAGUUAUUAUUCAUAUUGUUACCUAUCAACUUAGGUCAAUCAUAUCAUUACAAGAACAAGAACAAAAAAUGUAUUUAAAAGACAAUAAUACAAUAUAGGUACACGAUUUUUUUUGAAACGUUAUCUAUAGAAGAUUCGUGUCUUACAUAAUAUUGUACAUUCGUUUAAGUAACCUUGGUACUUGGUAGUCAAAUAUAAUACGAUGAUAAUAAUACGUUGUUAUUACAAUAAUUAUUUGAUAAUGUAUUGUAAAAUAUCUAUCGAGUGGUCAAUAGAGACUAUUACAGGUAGCCGGUAACACAUAAAUCUACUUGACGUAGAAAAAAAUCAAUAAUUGGUGGGGAGGAGAUCAUAAUAUUCAGAAUAAUAUCGGGUAUACUUUUUGGGGUGAAUUUUUUUUGCCGUUAAAGCGUAUUAUAUAAUAAUCGCAUUCUGAUAAUUACAUUUUUAAAUUUCUAACAAAGCUACAAUACAUUAUAAUUAAUUAACGUGUUUGUAAUUUAAAUUAACACCUACUUCCGGAUCGUCAAGCACCAAACUGCACAAUUCUCAAAGAAUUUAAGAAUCUAUGUGAAUAAAAUGAAAAUAAUGAAAUCGAAAACACAACAAAUGUGACUAAAUACUAUGUUGAUUUAAAUAUGUAUACAUCAAAUUGUUACCUAAAUUAUUUUUUUAAAUCAAAAAAAAUUGUUCCUUAAUACCUUUACUUACUAUGUUUUUUUUUAAAAACAUGUUAUAGAGAAAAAUCGACUUGCUUGGCUUAGAAUCCGAGGUCGUUUACUACCGGCUUUUUACAAUGAGACGGUCACAUUUAAAAUCAAUUUUAUUGUAUUCAAAACGAAAACUGCUUCCUAGCAUUUUACAUUAUACAUAAUACUACACAUAAUAUUGUACCGGACGAGUAACUUAUAUUUCUUGUUUGAUAUUUCGUAAGACGAUAAGAUUUGUCUAAAAACAUGUACCUAUUUAUUAUAAUAUUUAUGUAUUGUAGGUACACGUAUAUACUAUUAGUGGCGUAAAGAUAUUUUCAAUGGGAGGGGUUGUAUAAAAAAUUAUAUGUCUAUUAUGUAAUAGUGUAAUACUUAUUAUUAUGUCUAUAUAUCAAAAUAUUUUAAAAAUUGUAUUCUCCUAUAGAUAAUAUAGUAAAAAAUACUAAGAGGGGGUUGUAACCCUACACCCAACCCCCGCAUGUACGCCACUACAGUAUACUAUUAUUAUUAUAGUAGUAUACCAACUGCAAUAUCGGUCGGGGAUUGUUGAUUGUUGGUCAGCCUAAUUUUGCAGUAUAGGAUACUGUAGAAACCAAAUACAAAACCAAAUUAAAUAAAAAAAAAAAAAAUAGCAAUAAUUUAAUUUAUAUGUACCUUACUCUUCGACACAGACGUUUGUCUUGGGUACUACCAACUGGUAGUAGAAGUUUAAAUUGUGUUUAAGUAUAGCGGAAGAAUAAAAUAAUAACAAAUCUCAGCGAUGUUUGUUAUCGAUGUAGUUAGAUAUAUUAUUAUUAUAUAAUGUACAUCGAUUAGAAUUUAGAUUGUUAGGUUUCGGCGGUACUGGUUGUAGUGGUUCUGAUUACGGUUGGGAAGACGAUGACGACGCGACCUCCACUAUAGAUAAGUGUACCAACAAUAUUAUAGGAUUUAGUUAUUCAAGGCGCCUAAAGCCCAACCGUGUCAAAAUCGAUAAAAUAACUUACGAUAAUAAUGCAUUUAUGCAUGUUAUAAUAAUAAUAUUAUUAUUGCAUUAUAAACCGCACGGACUGGCACGUGCAUACAGAGUGAUCGAAUAAAAACAUAUCAUACAUCUUCGUAUUGGUUCGUGAGGCCGGGGUCAUAGCAGGGCGACUUAGGCAGUGCAGAUAUACCGGCUAGUCUCUCCGAGAAAUAAUAAUUAAAACAACAGGCGUUCAACAUUGUAAUAUAUAACAAUAUUAACGCUCUUUGUACACCGAAUAAGUAUACCUACGUGUAUAUUUUAAUAAUAAUUUUAAAAUGAGUAAAAUGUUACCGUCGUAGGGCUCGCGAGCGGCAGGUAUUGUAAAAAUAAAUUUUACCCCAAUAUUAAUUAAUAUCUAUUUCGUUGCAAAAAUGCAGAGCUGGUAUGUGUAAAAUGAUAUGUGUCUCCUCGUAGCCGCCGCCGCCGCCGCCGCCGCCGCCGGUCUCACGAGUUUUGUAUACGUACGCACAAACUACACCGUCGCAGUAGUCGUCGUCAUACUCGAACACUCACACAUACGCGCGGCCGAUUCAACAUCACGCCAUAUCACAUGACCCGUUGCUGACCAAUCAGCGACCACGUGCGUAGCGCCGCCGUCACCGUUGCCGGUUUUGGGUCGUCGUUCGCCGUCGCCGCAGCCGCGCGUCGCAUUGUUGACGUUACAACAAUAAUAAUAUUUAAACAUAAUGGUAUAAUAACAAUAAUAAUAUAAUAGGUACACCGCAAUAAUAACCAAUAAUAAUAAUAAUUAUAACAAUACAAGAUGAUGAUAAAACACACCUGCCCGCGGCGGCGCUCGCGAACGGUAAUCGGUCGGAUACGUAUCGUCGUCGUCAUAAUAUACUAGAUUUAACUACAGGUAAUGCAUACUUUAAUGUUAUUAUUAUUAUUAUUAUUAUUGCGGUUUUCGCCGCACGUCGGCAACCGGAGCUUUCAGAAAAUUAAGAAAUAUUAUGUACCCAACCUAUAACCUGCGAAAACCGAAAAUCCGCAAGUACAUCGUCCAUACCCCUGCCAACAAUCUACAUUCUAUACCUAGGCAUGGAGAUCGGUUUACACGAGGUUUCGAGACUAAACUUUCAACGGACCGGGGUUGUUUUCGUUCGAAUAUCGUUGGCAGAGAUGCACCCGCAGUCAUACGAUAACCUACGAGUUAUCAAUAAUGGAAAACAAUAAUAACUGUUCCGUUAAAGUGUUGUUAAAGAAAAAAAUGUGAAUAUAGAAAAAGUUAUUUUUGACACUGCUUAGUUGCCGGCGAUUUACAGGAAAGAUAUAUACCAAAUGCUUCAAAAAGAACGAUUUCAGGACUAAGCUGAAGUUUGAAUCUAUAAUUCAGGAGUACAAUUAGGGACAAUUGACGGCGUGUUACUAUAACAACCUCGACAACAGCGUGAUUCAACUGGAGCUACUGACCAGACUACUGACCAAGAAGACGGUAUCGCAGUACCUAUAACAAUAGAUCUGAGCUUUAAUGAUAUUACAGACUGUGCUUGUCUUCAAAAACUGUUGAAAGCAUCAGAAAUGAAUAUACCAACAAAUACAUACAUUCAAGUGAUUGAUUUUCUUUCAUACAUAAAAAAAGUGUUAAACACUCAAUUUAUUAUUAGGAAUUAAACCUAAGUAACAACAGCAUAAGAGGUGAAUGCGUCCACAACAUAAUUUCUUUUUUAGACACUAACGAUAGACUGCAAAAAUUAAAUUUGUCUGGAAAUUUUUUGAAUAAAGAA